GACGAACGCUGGCGGCGUGCUUAACACAUGCAAGUCGAACGGAAAGGCCCUGCUUUUGUGGGGUGCUCGAGUGGCGAACGGGUGAGUAACACGUGAGUAACCUGCCCUUGACUUUGGGAUAACUUCAGGAAACUGGGGCUAAUACCGGAUAGGAGCUCCUGCUGCAUGGUGGGGGUUGGAAAGUUUCGGCGGUUGGGGAUGGACUCACGGCUUAUCAGCUUGUUGGUGGGGUAGUGGCUUACCAAGGCUUUGACGGGUAGCCGGCCUGAGAGGGUGACCGGCCACAUUGGGACUGAGAUACGGCCCAGACUCCUACGGGAGGCAGCAGUGGGGAAUAUUGCACAAUGGGCGGAAGCCUGAUGCAGCAACGCCGCGUGCGGGAUGACGGCCUUCGGGUUGUAAACCGCUUUCGCCUGUGACGAGGCGUGAGUGACGGUAAUGGGUAAAGAAGCACCGGCUAACUACGUG
rnacentral:rRNA from 1 species